CAGUAUUAUCAAACGAGAAAAUCAACAAGAAAUCAGGAAUGACACUUCCUGGGCUGCAGAGAAAGAGGAAAACAUCUGGAUGCGAGUUUGUCCAUUGUGAGUUCCAAGAAUCAGGGGCGGAACUCCCAGAGGUAACUGAGAUGCCUGUUGCCCGUUUUUUUGUGCUUCAAUGCUGAGAAAUACAAGUAGCAGGAAGUCCUGGAAGUGAUGAUAUGGAUCCCACAGAGCCAUGAUCUUAACAUUUUUGAGUCUGUCUGGGAUUACAUGAAGCGACAGAAGGAUUUGAGUAAGCCUACAGCCACAAAAGAUCUGUGGUUCCUCCUUGCCGAGUUCCUUCAAAAACUGUGUGCAAGUGUACCUUUAAGAAUUGAUGCUGUUUUGAAGGCAAAGGGUCUCUUCUGUUCA